AUGUCAUAUCCCAAGAACCCGUGUCUGAGCACCGAGAUAUUGACGAAGGUCAAAUAUUUGAUGAAGACACUGUGUCCGAUUAUUCGUCAGGAGGAGGGGAGCCUGUAGCCAGCACACAUGUCCCUUUUGGAACAAAGUCCACAUCAAAAAAAGGAGAUGGUGAGAAAAAUGUGAGGGCUCUAUACAAGAGAUAUCUU